rnacentral:rRNA from 1 species
AUACGUAGGGGGCGAGCGUUGUCCGGAAUGACUGGGCGUAAAGGGCGUGUAGGCGGCCGAUUAAGUCUGGAGUGAAAGUCCUGCUUUCAAGGUGGGAAUUGCUUUGGAGACUGGUUGGCUUGAGUGCGGAAGAGGUAAGUGGAAUUCCCAGUGUAGCGGUGAAAUGCGUAGAGAUUGGGAGGAACACCAGUGGCGAAGGCGGCUUUCUGGGCCGUAACUGACGCUGAGGCGCGAAAGCGUGGGGAGCGAACAGGAUUAGAUACCCUGGUAGUCCACGCCGUAACCGAUGAAUGCUAGGUGUAGGGGGUAUCGACCCCUCCUGUGCCGGAGUAAACGCAAUAAGCAUUCCGCCUGGGGAGUACGGCCGCAAGGUUGAAACUCAAAUGAAUUGACUGGG